rnacentral:tRNA from 1 species
GCUAAUAUGGCAGAGCCUGGUAAUUGCAAAAGCUCUAAGAUCUUUCUCCCAGAGGUUCAAAUCCUCUUAUUAGCU